rnacentral:rRNA from 1 species
GACGAACGCUGGCGGCGUGCUUAACACAUGCAAGUCGAACGGAAAGGCCCUGCCUUUGUGGGGUGCUCGAGUGGCGAACGGGUGAGUAACACGUUAGUAACCUGCCCUUGACUUUGGGAUAACUUCAGGAAACUGGGGCUAAUACCGGAUAGGAGCUCCGGCUGCAUGGUGGGGGUUGGAAAGUUUCGGCGGUUGGGGAUGGACUCGCGGCUUAUCAGCUUGUUGGUGGGGUAGUGGCUUACCAAGGCUUUGACGGGUAGCCGGCCUGAGAGGGUGACCGGCCACAUUGGGACUGAGAUACGGCCCAGACUCCUACGGGAGGCAGCAGUGGGGAAUAUUGCACAAUGGGCGGAAGCCUGAUGCAGCAACGCCGCGUGCGGGAUGACGGCCUUCGGGUUGUAAACCGCUUUCGCCUGUGACGAAGCGUGAGUGACGGUAAUGGGUAAAGAAGCACCGGCUAACUACGUG